rnacentral:rRNA from 1 species
GACGAACGCUGGCGGCGUGCCUAAUACAUGCAAGUAGAACGCACAGGAUGCACCGUAGUUUACUACACCGUAUUCUGUGAGUUGCGAACGGGUGAGUAACGCGUAGGUAACCUGCCUGGUAGCGGGGGAUAACUAUUGGAAACGAUAGCUAAUACCGCAUAAGAACAUUUACUGCAUGGUAGAUGUUUAAAAGGUGCAAGAGCAUCACUACCAGAUGGACCUGCGUUGUAUUAGCUAGUUGGUGAGGUAACGGCUCACCAAGGCAACGAUACAUAGCCGACCUGAGAGGGUGAUCGGCCACACUGGGACUGAGACACGGCCCAGACUCCUACGGGAGGCAGCAGUAGGGAAUCUUCGGCAAUGGGGGGAACCCUGACCGAGCAACGCCGCGUGAGUGAAGAAGGUUUUCGGAUCGUAAAGCUCUGUUGUUAAGGAAGAACGUGUGUGAGAGUGGAAAGUUCACACAGUGACGGUACUUAACCAGAAAGGGACGGCUAACUACUUGCCAGCAGCCGCGGUAAUACUUAGGUCCCGAGCGUUGUCCGGAUUUAUUGUGCGUAAAGCGAGCGCAGGCGGUUAGAUAAGUCUGAAGUGAAAGGCAGUGUCUCAACCAUUGUAUGCUUUGGAAACUGUUUAACUUGAGUGCAGAAGGGAGAGUGGGAAUUCCAUGUGUUGCGGUGAAAUGCGUAGAUAUAUGGAGGACACCGGUGGGGAAAUCGGUUCUCUUGGUCUGUUACUGUAGCUGAAGCUCUGAAUCGUGGGGAGCGAAAUGGAUUAUGAUACCCUGUUAGCCCUGGGGCGAAUUCCUAUGUGGAUACAAGCUUAUCGAUUCCGUUGUCCUCUGGGGGGGGAAAUAAAAAAACAAAUUUUAUGCCAUAAUAAAGGUAUUAUAAGUGCUGCUUCUGUCGCUUGUACUGUGUCUUUAGUUGUUUGUGUGUGUGUUUUUUUAUGUUUUACUCUCUGUGUGCUGUGCUUCUACUUUCCCUUCCCCCCCUGUCUUCUGUUUUUUUUUUUGUUUGUGUUUGCUGGUUGCUUUAGUUAACCCCUGGCUGCAUGUGUAUGUUAGUAUAGUGCCUCCAUGUAGUAGCUUUGUUAAUGUUCUUGUAUUAGUUCUAUAUAGCCUCACUAGCUAGCUAUUGUAUUUAGUUCCUUUUUGAUUGCUAGUAUCCUAUGCUAGCUACACCUAGAUAGUUCUGAUGCUUUGUGUGUCUACUAUGAGUGGUGAUGAUGAUGUCCUAGAACAUAUGAUAUAUGAUCCCUGAUGGCCCAUGUGACCCCCCUAGUAUGGCUUGAUACCUUAUGUAUAGUGACCGUGAAUGAUAGUGAGCCAUAUAG